GGUUUAAUUCGAAGCAACGCGAAGAACCUUACCAAAUCUUGACAUCCCUCUGACCGGCGAGUAAUGUCGCCUUUCCUUCGGGACAGAGGAGACAGGUGGUGCAUGGUUGUCGUCAGCUCGUGUCGUGAGAUGUUGGGUUAAGUCCCGCAACGAGCGCAACCCUUAUCCUAAGUAGCCAGCAGUUCGGCUGGGCACUCUUGGGAGACUGCCAGGGAUAACCUGGA
rnacentral:rRNA from 1 species